AUAUUGGUCAAUAGCCUAACGGCUGAACCAGCAAUUUGGAGGAUGUAUGGCAAUAGCUGGUUGCAUUAACAAAAAGUUAGUGUAAGAUCGACUCUGUUGAAUAAAAUUCUUUAUAGAAUUAUGAUAAUGACAUUAUCUAUCUAUGUGUCUUGACCAAAUUACGUGCCAGCAGUCGCGGUAAUACGUAAAAGACUAGUGUUAUUCAUCUUUAAUAGGUUUAAAGGGUACUUAGACGGUAAAUAAAGCCCCAAGAGGGAACUAAUAUACUAGAGUUUGAUGUAAGGAAGCAUGAAAGUACUGUUGGUGUAGAGAUAAAAUUCUAUCAUACCAAAUAUGGCACAGGUUUAGGCGAAAGCAUCUUCUUAUGUAAUAACUGACGUUGAAGGACGAAGGCUUUGUGUCUCGAACAGGAUUAGAUACCCCAGUAGUCUAAGCAGACAACGAUGAAUGUCAUAGAUUACAUUUAAUUUAUUCUAUAAAUGAAAGUGUAAGCAUUCCACCUCAAGAGUAAUUUGGCAACAUUGGAACUGAAAUCAUUAGACCCGUUCUAAAACCAGUAGUGAAGUAUGUUAUUUAAUUCGAUAAUCCGC
rnacentral:rRNA from 1 species